UGGGGAAUAUUGGACAAUGGGCGCAAGCCUGAUCCAGCCAUGCCGCGUGAGUGAUGAAGGCCUUAGGGUUGUAAAGCUCUUUCGACGGGGACGAUAAUGACGGUACCCGUAGAAGAAGCCCCGGCUAACUUCGUGCCAGCAGCCGCGGUAAUACGAAGGGGGCUAGCGUUGCUCGGAAUCACUGGGCGUAAAGGGCGCGUAGGCGGACGUUUAAGUCAGAGGUGAAAGCCCGGGGCUCAACCCUGGAAUGGCCUUUGAUACUGGACGUCUUGAGUCUGGUAGAGGUUGGUGGAACUGCGAGUGUAGAGGUGAAAUUCGUAGAUAUUCGCAAGAACACCGGUGGCGAAGGUGGCCAACUGGACCAGAACUGACGCUGAGGCGCGAAAGCGUGGGGAGCAAACAGGAUUAGAUACCCUGGUAGUCCACGCCGUAAACGAUGGAUGCUAGCCGUUGGCCGGUUUACCGGUCAGUGGCGCAGCUAACGCGUUAAGCAUCCCGCCUGGGGAGUACGGCCGCAAGGUUAAAACUUAAAUGAAUUGACGGGGUCAUAGCUGUUUCCU
rnacentral:rRNA from 1 species